rnacentral:rRNA from 1 species
GAUGAACGCUGGCGGCGUGCCUAACACAUGCAAGUCGAGCGAUUUACUUCGGUAAAGAGCGGCGGACGGGUGAGUAACGCGUGGGUAACCUGCCCUGUACACACGGAUAACAUACCGAAAGGUAUGCUAAUACGAGAUAAUAUACUUUUAUCGCAUGGUAGAAGUAUCAAAGCUCUGGCGGUACAGGAUGGACCCGCGUCUGAUUAGCUAGUUGGUAAGGUAACGGCUUACCAAGGCGACGAUCAGUAGCCGGCCUGAGAGGGUGAUCGGCCACAUUGGAACUGAGACACGGUCCAAACUCCUACGGGAGGCAGCAGUGGGAAAUAUUGCACAAUGGGCGAAAGCCUGAUGCAGCAACGCCGCGUGAGCGAUGAAGGCCUUCGGGUCGUAAAGCUCUGUCCUCAAGGAAGAUAAUGACGGUACUUGAGGAGGAAGCCCCGGCUAACUACGUGCCAGCCGCCGCCGUAA